rnacentral:lncRNA from 1 species
GUUGGGACUUUCCCUCUCAGACAUUUAUUGGUUCAUUCAUUCGUUCAUUUUGCUGUAACUCACAGUGGCCCCCAUCCUAAGGUGCACUGCUGGGAUUGGUCUAUGUGCUGAUGAUGUUCUCCUUGUCUUCAGAGGAGAGACGGAGUUUCACCGUGUUAGCCAGGAUGGUCUCGAUCUCCUGACCUCGUGAUCCGCCUCGUGAUCCUCCUGAUCCUCGAAGCCGCCCGCCUCGGCCUCCCAAAGUGCUGGGAUUACAGGCGGGAGCCACCGCGCCUGGCCGUUCCCUGGGUCUUUUGAGUGGUGUGAGUUGAAUGGUGGUAGAUUCUAGGACAGUUCAGUAGGAGCCCGUCCUCAAAAGGAAAAUAACAGAACUUCCUGCUAAUCUGGUAUUGGGGCUG